GGGAGCGAAAGGAUUUCGACGGGGGACCGGAGCUUCAAUAAGCGGGCAGAGGCGGCGAACCUCUAUAAAAGCGCCGACUUAAAUAAUAACUGACAAUCAUACGACAGUUUUAGCCGCUGCUUAAUCGCAGCUGCCGUCAUGCCCGGGAGUACCGCGGCCCGGGGCCAUGGCGUGACUGAGCGGUGAACGUGCACGGGAGACGCCUCAUAACCCGUCAUGCACAAUGAGGCUUUCCCGAACCGCAGCCUGCCCUGAGGCGGCGGCAAGGGGAGAUAAAAAGGAAGGGCUACGCCCGUAGAAAGUUGAAAGGAUGAUCUUUCGGACAGGGGUUCGACUCCCCUCGCUUCCACCA
rnacentral:tmRNA from 1 species